UACGUAGGGUGCUAGCGUUGUCCGGAUUUAUUGGGCGUAAAGGGCUCGUAGGCGGCGUGUCGCGUCGGGAGUGAAAGCCCGCUGCUUAACGGCGGGUUGGCUUCCGGUACGGGCAUCGCUGGAGUGCGGCAGGGGAGACUGGAAUUCCUGGUGUAGCGGUGGAAUGCGUAGAUAUGCGGAGGAACACCGAUGGCGAAGGCAAUCCCCUGGGCCUGCACUG
rnacentral:rRNA from 1 species